UUUGAAGGCAGAUGUUGAGAUAUGUAGAACAAAUUUUCAUUUCAUUUUCUUUGCUUUGAAAUUACGUGGUAAGGAAUUAUUCUAUCUCUCUGUCUUCAGUCACAAUUCCUAAUACAGAGAGAUUGAGAUUCACACAAUGUUUAAUGGUGAUGUUUGAUUGAUGAUAAUGGUGAUGAUGAUGAUGUUGGCGAAAGUGAUAAUCUGUAGAUCCUAGACUAGUGAUCCUCAAACUGGCUUUUAGAGUCCUCUAGAAUAUUUCAGGGGAAUAUGUAUGUGUACCUGAAGAGUUGCCAUCAUAAUAGUCCCUAGGUCAUGACUGCUAUAAAAGUCCCCUCAUAUUUUCUUCUUUCACUUCCAGAAGGACCUGCCCAAAAGUUGUUAUGGGUCCCUUUUGAGAUGACUUAUUUGACAUGAUAUGCUGCUACAGGACUCUCUAGGAAGGAAGUAGAAAGGAUAAAGAGGCAUGAACUAAUUUUUCUUGAGACAGAUUAUUACUUUGGUUGAGAGUAUGUGGUUAGCACUGUUUUAUUAACCCAUAGAGAGAAAAUAUCAUCCCUUAUCACCAAUGGAGAGAACAACACUGCUGCUUUCUCCCUUUGGGGGUCAACCUGACUACCCAGCCUGAGAUACAAAGGAAUAAUUUAGAAGCUAUGUGGGGACGAUUUUCAUAACUGUUUGGUUUCAAGGUUUUAAGCCUCAUUGACUUAGCUGAAAAACAUCACCCCUGGAAGUCUACCCACUCUGCAAAAGGUACAGAGACAGAGUGAUUCUUCAUCAGACUUCAACAAAAAAGUAAAAUGGAUUUUAUCAUACUUGGAAAACCAACAAUUGCAGUCUGGAUUCAAGCAUCACUGUUUGAUGCACCCAACUUGAGUCAAAAAGAUGCUUCAAAUCCCACUAGGCUGGAGAUGGAGCCAGAUUGAGAAAAACCAACCAACCAACCAACCAACGAACAGCAUGAUGGCUGAACCAGACAAGAGAAGUCCUGAAGAAAAAUACUUAUCAAUUACCAGAAUCUGUGCCUGCCAUACAUCAAAGUUCUGCAGCUUAACAAUGGAAAAGAAAAACUAAAAAAAGCUCCAAGGAAAGAGUGAGGAAACUUGAGUUCCGGUUCUGUGAGUGAGUUUUUAAUCUUGUAAAAUUUAUCUAAUCUCUCUGGUUUUAGCUUUUUCACCUGUAGAGUGGGGAUAAAACCUCACUUCAUUACUCC
rnacentral:lncRNA from 1 species